GUGAACGCUGGCGGUAGGCCUAACACAUGCAAGUCGAACGGCAGCACAGUAAGAGCUUGCUCUUACGGGUGGCGAGUGGCGGACGGGUGAGGAAUACAUCGGAAUCUACUUUUUCGUGGGGGAUAACGUGGGGAAACUUACGCUAAUACCGCAUACGACCUACGGGUGGAAGCAGGGGAUCUUCGGACCUUGCGCGAUUGAAUGAGCCGAUGUCGGAUUAGCUAGUUGGCGGGGUAAAGGCCCACCAAGGCGACGAUCCGUAGCUGGUCUGAGAGGAUGAUCAGACACACUGGAACUGAGACACGGUCCAGACUCCUACGGGAGGCAGCAGUGGGGAAUAUUGGACAAUGGGCGCAAGCCUGAUCCAGCCAUACCGCGUGGGUGAAGAAGGCCUUCGGGUUGUAAAGCCUUUUUGUUGGGAAAGAAAAGCAGCAGGUUAAUACCCCGCUGUUCUGACGGUACCCAAAGAAUAAGCACCGGCUAACUUCGUG
rnacentral:rRNA from 1 species